CAGCAGCCACGGUAAUACGAAGGGGGCUAGCGUUGCUCGGAAUGACUGGGCGUAAAGGGCGCGUAGGCGGAUUGUUUAGUUAGGCGUGAAAUUCCUGGGCUUAACCCGGGGACUGCGCUUAAUACAGGCAGUCUAGAGUGAGGAAGAGGGUUGUGGAAUUCCCAGUGUAGAGGUGAAAUUCGUAGAUAUUGGGAAGAACACCGGUGGCGAAGGCGGCGACCUGGUCCUUGACUGACGCUGAGGCGCGAAAGCGUGGGGAGCAAACAGGAUUAGAUACCCCUGUAGUCCCUGUCUCUUAUAC
rnacentral:rRNA from 1 species